GAUGAACGCUAGCGACAGGCCUAACACAUGCAAGUCGAGGGGCAGCGCGGAGCAAGCUUGCUUGUUCUGGCGGCGACCGGCGCACGGGUGCGUAACAGGUGUGCAAUCUGUCUAUAAUCGGGGGAAUAGCCCAGCGAAAGUUGGAUUAAUGCUCCAUGUGAGCCGAGGAGGCAUCUCUUUGGUUUGAAACGUAAGGAUUAUGGGUGAGCACGCUUCUGAUUAGGUAGUUGGUGAGGUAACGGCUCACCAAGCCGACGAUCAGUAGGGGUUCUGAGAGGAAGGUCCCCCACACUGGAACUGAGACACGGUCCAGACUCCUACGGGAGGCAGCAGUGAGGAAUAUUGGGUCAAUGGUCGGAAGACUGAACCAGCCAAGUAGCGUGAAGGAUGACUGCCCUACGGGUUGUAAACUUCUUUUGUUGGGAAUAAAGACGCUACGUGUAGCGUUCUGCAUGUACCUUACGAAUAAGCAUCGGCUAAUUCCGUG
rnacentral:rRNA from 1 species